rnacentral:rRNA from 1 species
AUUGAACGCUGGCGGCAGGCCUAACACAUGCAAGUCGAGCGAGCGGCGGACGGGUGAGUAAUGUCUGGGAAACUGCCUGAUGGAGGGGGAUAACAACUGGAAACGGUAGCUAAAACCCCACAUCACAACAUGUGCCCAGAUGGGAUUAGUGAGUAGGUGGGGUAAAGGCUCACCUAGGGGACGAUCCCCAGCUGGUCUGAGAGGAUGACCAGCCACACGUGAACUGAGACACGGUCCAGACUCCUACGGGAGGCAGCAGUGGGGAAGAUUGCACAAGGGGCGCAAGCCUGAUGCAGCCAUGCCGCGUGUGUGAAGAAGGCCUUCGGGUUGUAAAGCACUUUCAGCGAGGAGGCGUUACCCGCAGAAGAAGCACCGGCUAACUCCGUGCCAGCAGCCGCGGUAAUUC